rnacentral:lncRNA from 1 species
UGUAUUUUCACUUGAUUUAUUUUUAUUAUUUGUUUAAUUACAAUUUGAAUUUAUCGGAAGAGGGUAUUAGAAUUCCUGACUUGAAAUUUCAGGUUAAUCAUUUUAUGGUGCCAAAAUUUAAUAGAUUUAAUAUAACUAUUCAUUCUUUUCCAACACGUUUAUACCUUAGUAGAUAUAUUCAUGCCGUCAGGGCCGGCGCAAAGCAGGUUCAGCGCAUUCGCCAGAACCCGGCCCCGCGUUUUGAGAGGCCCCGUGGUCUACGAAAAUUACCCAAUUAAAAAACACUGAUUUUGAUUAACUUUUUACAGAAUGAUGAUACCAUUAACAGAUGCAAGACAUUUUUUUAGUAGCGAUGAUUUGGUUUAAAGGAGUGACAAAAAUCAUCAAAGUUCAGUGUAACUCCAUAAAGUCCUCAUAUCCUGGAAAGUACUUUAGAUAAAAAAAUCCAGACGCUUUCAGAGAAAUGUACUUUUUAGAGAAAUUAAACUACAUCAAUAGUUUUUUGCAAAAGUCAUACAUGAUUACAGUUUUUUGGACUAUAUCUAGAAACUCAGCAAUUU